rnacentral:tRNA from 2 species
GGGGCCGUAGCUCAGUUGGGAGAGCGCUGCCCUUGCACGGCAGAGGUCAGGGGUUCGAAUCCCCUCGGCUCCACCA